CAACAGGGAUUGCCUUAGUAACUGCGAGUGAAGCGGCAAAAGCUCAAAUUUGAAAUCUGGCGUCUUCGGCGUCCGAGUUGUAAUUUGGAGGGAUAUCUUCGGGGUUGGCGCCGUCCUAAGUUCCUUGGAACAGGACGUCAUAGAGGGUGAGAAUCCCGUGCCUGGAUGGCUGUCCAACUCCAUGUGAAGUGUCUCCGACGAGUCGAGUUGUUUGGGAAUGCAGCUCAAAAUGGGUGGUAAAUUUCAUCUAAAGCUAAAUAUUGGCGAGAGACCGAUAGCGCACAAGUAGAGUGAUCGAAAGAUGAAAAGCACUUUGAAAAGAGAGUUAAAAAGUACGUGAAAUUGUUGAAAGGGAAGCGCUUGCGACCAGACUCGAUCUUUGGUGAUCAGCCGGGCUUCGGUUCGGNUGCCCUCACCAUUGAUUGGGCCAGCAUCGGUUCUGACGGCGGGAUAAAAGGAGGAGGAAUGUGGCUCCCUUCGGGGAGUGUUAUAGCCUCCUUCACAAUGCCGCCAGUUGGGACCGAGGACCGCGCUUCGGCUAGGAUGCUGGCGUAAUGGUCUUAAGCGACCCGUCUUGAAACACGGACCAAGGAGUCUAACAUCUAUGCGAGUGUUCGGGUGGAAAACCCUUGCGCGUAAUGAAAGUGAACGGAGGUGUGAACCCUUUACGGGGUGCAACAUCGACCGGUCCUGAUGUCUUCGGAAGGAUCUGAGCUAAGAGCAUAGCUGUCUGGGACCCGAAAGAUGGUGAACUAUGCUCUGAAUAGGGUGAAGCACAGAGGAAACUCUGCGUGGAGAGCUCGCAGCGGUUCUGACGUGCAAAUCGAUCGUCAAAUUUGGGUAUAGGGG
rnacentral:rRNA from 1 species